rnacentral:rRNA from 1 species
GAUGAACGCUGGCGGCGUGCCUAAUACAUGCAAGUCGAGCGAACAGACAAGGAGCUUUCUCCUUUGACGUUAGCGGCGGACGGGUGAGUAACACGUGGGUAACCUACCUAUAAGACUGGGAUAACUUCGGGAAACCGGAGCUAAUACCGGAUAAUAUUUCGAACCGCAUGGUUCGAUAGUGAAAGAUGGUUUUGCUAUCACUUAUAGAUGGACCCGCGCCGUAUUAGCUAGUUGGUAAGGUAACGGCUUACCAAGGCGACGAUACGUAGCCGACCUGAGAGGGUGAUCGGCCACACUGGAACUGAGACACGGUCCAGACUCCUACGGGAGGCAGCAGUAGGGAAUCUUCCGCAACGGGCGAAAGCCUGACGGAGCAACGCCGCGUGAGUGAUGAAGGUCUUCGGAUCGUAAAACUCUGUUAUUAGGGAAGAACAUACGUGUAAGUAACUAUGCACGUCUUGACGGUACCUAAUCAGAAAGCCACGGCUAACUACGUGCCAGCAGCCGCGGUAAUACGUAGGUGGCAAGCGUUAUCCGGAAUUAUUGGGCGUAAAGCGCGCGUAGGCGGUUUUUUAAGUCUGAUGUGAAAGCCCACGGCUCAACCGUGGAGGGUCAUUGGAAACUGGAAAACUUGAGUGCAGAAGAGGAAAGUGGAAUUCCAUGUGUAGCGGUGAAAUGCGCAGAGAUAUGGAGGAACACCAGUGGCGAAGGCGACUUUCUGGUUUGUAACUGACGCUGAUGUGCGAAAGCGUGGGGAUCAAACAGGAUUAGAUACCCUGGUAGUCCACGCCGUAAACGAUGAGUGCUAGGUGUUAGGGGGUUUCCGCCCCUUAGUGCUGCAGCUAACGCAUUAAGCACUCCGCCUGGGGAGUACGACCGCAAGGUUGAAACUCAAAGGAAUUGACGGGGACCCGCACAAGCGGUGGAGCAUGUGGUUUAAUUCGAAGCAACGCGAAGAACCUUACCAAAUCUUGACAUCCUUUGACAACUCUAGAGAUAGAGCCUUCCCCUUCGGGGGACAAAGUGACAGGUGGUGCAUGGUUGUCGUCAGCUCGUGUCGUGAGAUGUUGGGUUAAGUCCCGCAACGAGCGCAACCCUUAAGCUUAGUUGCCAUCAUUAAGUUGGGCACUCUAAGUUGACUGCCGGUGACAAACCGGAGGAAGGUGGGGAUGACGUCAAAUCAUCAUGCCCCUUAUGAUUUGGGCUACACACGUGCUACAAUGGACAAUACAAAGGGUAGCGAAACCGCGAGGUCAAGCAAAUCCCAUAAAGUUGUUCUCAGUUCGGAUUGUAGUCUGCAACUCGACUACAUGAAGCUGGAAUCGCUAGUAAUCGUAGAUCAGCAUGCUACGGUGAAUACGUUCCCGGGUCU